GACGUAGGGCGCGAGCGUUGUCCGGAUUUAUUGGGCGUAAAGAGCUCGUAGGCGGCUUGUCGCGUCGUCCGUGAAAACCUGCGGCUCAACUGCAGGCUGGCGGUCGAUACGGGCAGGCUGGAGUUCGGUAGGGGAGACUGGAAUUCCACGUGUAGCAGUGAAAUGCGUAGAGAUGUGGAGGAACACCGAUGGCGAAGGCGGUUGCCUGGAGCUUUGCUGACGCUGAGGCGCGAAAGCGUGGGGAGCGAUCCGG
rnacentral:rRNA from 1 species